UACACAACAUUAAACAAGAGAAAGGAACAUGAAAUCUAAAAUCUCGUAAGAACUAAUAAGCUAUAGGAGCUAAUAUAGACAUUUGAUAAGUAGAAAAACAAUUAUGAAUUAAAAACUGAAUUAAAGGAAUUACAGUAAAUUGACAAUAGUAAAAGUUGGUAGAACUAAAAUAGUCCUUGGAACCUUCAAUAACAUCCCUCUUCAGAUCUAACAAAUUUUAAAAACUGAGGUUCAUGGGUUCAAUAUAAUGAAAUAUGGUCGUAUAACCUGUUAACAAAACAAAAUAAUAUUUAUAAUCAUUCCAACUAAAAUUCAAAUGUCUUCCUGCGAAUUUUGCUUGAAGCAAUAGAGAACAACUAAUUUGAAAUAAAGAGACCAAUCCCAAAAGCAACGUAAAUGCAUAUAGAUAGCUAGAUCUUGCAUACGCUUUCCUUAGAUAGGAUGUCCAGAUCCUCCAAUCUAUAACGUGCAUGUGUUUUAAAACACAUUCUUUACCUUGAUUUGGAUGAGUUAUCAUAUAUCCACCUCCUGCUUAUCACAAUGUAAAAAAUUAAAAAUUAAAAAUUAUUUCAUAAAAAAACCUUACAGCUAAUAUUAGGUUAGGCACAAGCUACAACAAACUUCCAUAGUUGUAACUUGUAAGGAAAAUAAGAUAUUACUUAUCUCAUAAUUGUUACCAUCCUGCAUCCGCAAGAUACUCUUGAACAAAUAAUGUUGACAGUAAAUUUGAGCUUCAAUAAAGGAUAUAUUCAGGAUCAUUUAUGCCGUGGGAUAAAUUGUUCUUACUUUUAAGUUUUUGUUUCCAAAUAUAUUUUGAUAGCUUACUUUUUCCUUCCUUUUUUAUGUAAAAGAGUUACUUAGAGUUUGUUCAAACUUUGACCAAUAAACAAAUGCUUACUUUAAAACUUUCUUAUUGUGAACUUUCUAAGCUAGCCAAAUAUGCUCGAAGCUCUUGCUUGAGAUAUUAACAAAGAUUAAUUUUCACUUAAUCUGUGUCAAUUUGCACCUUAUCCCAAAGAAUUAAACUAUGAGUUAAGGUUUCUCCAUUUAUCAUUUAUUCUUCUUUCAAUUUCUUCGGAAGUAGUUGAAUUAUCUUUUGAGAAAUUUUCUCAAACAGCACCCUCAUGAGAAAGCAAAUAACAUGUAAAGACCUAUGGAAUGGUUAGAAGAGAAAGAAAAUGAGAAACUGUCCAAUUAACUAAAUAUCUUACAUCACAGAAUUACUGAAGAUGCAAAAAUUAUCUUUUUACAAUUUCGUUUCAGAUUCUCGUGUCUCAACUCUUAUGAUACACGACCUGUCAGUACGAGAGACCAUUGCAAUUAUUGGUAGAAUAAAGGCAUUCGGAAUUCCCCGGUCAAGCAGACAUUACUUUUAAGACGAGUACGAACAUAUCCAUGUUUAGGAGUCUUUUGGAACACUGAUAGGUGGAGAAUAGUUGCAACAAAAGUAAUAGAACAAUACAUGAAAAUAGUAACUGAAAUGUUAUCAAACUCAUGUCGAUUUUAUCGGUUACAAAGUACCUUAAGUUCCAUCAUCUUCUCUUCUUCAAUAACAGUGCAGAAACAAGUGCCUUCUUUUCAUUGCCCUGAUGGCAUGUUUGUAGCAAUAUAAUAUUAGAUCAUAACUGAAAAUGUAGUACACAAAACUUUAA
rnacentral:lncRNA from 1 species